rnacentral:rRNA from 1 species
GUCCAUGGCCAUACCACCCUGAAUGCGCCUGAUCUCAUCUGAUCUCAGAAGCUAAGCAGGCCUGGUUAGUACCUCAACAAUACAUAAACGGUUGUGAUGU